AAAAACAUGUCUAUUUGAUGGUAUAAAAAGUCUGGCCUGCCCACUGAUUUAGUAUUAAAGGGCCGCAGUAUUUUAACUGUGCAAAGGUAGCAUAAUCAUUAGGUUUUUAAUUGAAAUCUUGUAUGAAUGGCUCGACAAAAAAAAUUCUGUCUCUAUAUUAAAUUUUGAAUUUAACUUUUAAGUGAAAAGGCUUAAAUAUAUUAAAGGGACGAUAAGACCCUAUAAAACUUAACAUUGUAGUUAUAUUUAAUUGAAUUUUAAAAUAAUGAUUUAAUAAUAUUAAAUGUUUUGUUGGGGAGACAAAGGUAAAAUGUAUUUUAACUGCUUUAUAUUAAAACAAAUAUUUAUGAUAAUAAAAUGAUCCUUUAUAAAGAUUUUUAGAUUAAGUUACUUUAGGGAUAACAGCGUAAUUUUUUUUAAGAGUUCUUAUCGAAAAAAGAGUUUGCGACCUCGAUGUUGAAUUAAAAUAUCCUUACAGUGCAGAAGCUUUAAAGGAAGGUCUGUUCGACCUUUAAUUUUUUA
rnacentral:rRNA from 1 species